rnacentral:rRNA from 1 species
CUCGUGUUGUGAAAUGUUGGGUUAAGUCCCGCAACGAGCGCAACCCUUAUCCUUUGUUGCCAGCGGUCCGGCCGGGAACUCAAAGGAGACUGCCAGUGAUAAACUGGAGGAAGGUGGGGAUGACGUCAAGUCAUCAUGGCCCUUACGACCAGGGCUACACACGUGCUACAAUGGCGCAUACAAAGAGAAGCGACCUCGCGAGAGCAAGCGGACCUCAUAAAGUGCGUCGUAGUCCGGAUUGGAGUCUGCAACUCGACUCCAUGAAGUCGGAAUCGCUAGUAAUCGUGGAUCAGAAUGCCACGGUGAAUACGUUCCCGGGCCUUGUACACACCGCCCGUCACACCAUGGGAGUGGGUUGCAAAAGAAGUAGGUAGCUUAACCUUCGGGAGGGCGCUUACCACUUUGUGAUUCAUGACUGGGGUGAAGUCGUAACAAGGUAACCGUAGGGGAACCUGCGGUUGGAUCACCUCCUU